UUGCCUUAAACUAAUGAGUAAGGAAAACAAAGCGAGGGGUGAGAAUCGCUCGCAGCGCUAACUCAAUAUUCGCGCAGUAAUUUUUAGAGGGGUUAUAGGCUGGCUAAGUGUUGACGCUGCUUACUUUGGCAGAACUCGCUUAGCGGGCCUCCU